GAAUGAAGAACGCAGCGAAAUGCGAUACGUAAUGUGAAUUGCAGAAUUCAGUGAAUCAUCGAAUCUUUGAAGGCACAUUGCGCCCCUUGGUAUUCCGAGGGGCAUGCCUGUUCGAGCGUCAUUAUAACCCCUCAAGCUCAGCUUGGUGUUGGGGCCUGCUGCACUGGCAGCCCUUAAAAUCAGUGGCGGCGCCAUCUGGCUCUAAGCGUAGUAAUUCUUCUCGCUAUGGAGUCCUGGUGGAUGCUUGCCAUCAACCCCCAAUUUUUCUAUGGUUGACCUCGGAUCAGGUAGGGAUACCCGCUGAACUUAAGCAUAUCAAUAAGCGGAGGA
rnacentral:misc_RNA from 1 species